CGUACACUCCUACGGGAGGCAGCAGUGGGGAAUAUUGCACAAUGGGCGCAAGCCUGAUGCAGCCAUGCCGCGUGUGUGAAGAAGGCCUUCGGGUUGUAAAGCACUUUCAGCGGGGAGGAAGGCAAUGCGGUUAAUAACCGUGUUGAUUGACGUUACCCGCAGAAGAAGCACCGGCUAACUCCGUGCCAGCAGCCGCGGUAAUACGGAGGGUGCAAGCGUUAAUCGGAAUUACUGGGCGUAAAGCGCACGCAGGCGGUCUGUCAAGUCGGAUGUGAAAUCCCCGGGCUCAACCUGGGAACUGCAUUCGAAACUGGCAGGCUUGAGUCUUGUAGAGGGGGGUAGAAUUCCAGGUGUAGCGGUGAAAUGCGUAGAGAUCUGGAGGAAUACCGGUGGCGGAGGCGGCCCCCUGGACAAAGACUGACGCUCAGGUGCGAAAGCGUGGGGAGCAAACAGGAUUAGAAACCCGGGUAGUCCCAUGA
rnacentral:rRNA from 1 species